ACCUGAUGAUGUGGGCAUUUACAUAAAAGGUCCCUAAAGCGCUCCUAGGUCUCAAAAUAUUGCUCGCCAUCUAUUUGUGAGAAACUAGUGACGACCUUCUUGAGCU